GUGUCAUCUCAUGACAAUAAAUAAACAAAUCAUUGCAUUUGUGAUUUAAAGGAAAAAACGACAUUACGCACUUCUGUUUUUUCAACAUUCAGUAAAUAUCGGUCAAGUUUUGCGCAUAUGUCCGAUGAAAAAGCAACUAAUGACAGUGCAUAUACACUUGUUUUUAUGUUUAGUUAAUGAU